AGUGAACGCUGGCGGUAGGCCUAACACAUGCAAGUCGAACGGCAGCACAGUAAGAGCUUGCUCUUACGGGUGGCGAGUGGCGGACGGGUGAGGAAUACAUCGGACUCUACUUUUUCGUGGGGGAUAACGUAGGGAAACUUACGCUAAUACCGCAUACGACCUACGGGUGAAAGCAGGGGAUCUUCGGACCUUGCGCGAUUGAAUGAGCCGAUGUCGGAUUAGCUAGUUGGCGGGGUAAAGGCCCACCAAGGCGACGAUCCGUAGCUGGUCUGAGAGGAUGAUCAGCCACACUGGAACUGAGACACGGUCCAGACUCCUACGGGAGGCAGCAGUGGGGAAUAUUGGACAAUGGGCGCAAGCCUGAUCCAGCCAUGCCGCGUGUGUGAAGAAGGCCUUCGGGUUGUAAAGCCCUUUUGUUGGGAAAGAAAAGCAGCAGGUUAAUACCCCGCUGUUCUGACGGUACCCAAAGAAUAAGCACCGGCUAACUUCGUG
rnacentral:rRNA from 1 species